UUUGAUCUAUUCAAGGUGUAUUCUAUCUGAAUAUUCCCAUCAAAUGAUUGGUGGUUGGUGACUCAAUCUUAUCCAUACUAGGGCAGCAAUAAGACUAGUAUAUAAAUGUUAUUAUAGUAGCCUGCAGCUAAGAGCACAAAAAUAGAGUCCUUUGAGCUACAUUGUGAGGCUGUGUAUGAGAGACUCGAGAGCUAAAAAAGUUUGAGUGACUUUCAGAGAAAUACUUAAGGUUUUGAGCUGAAUUUAUUCACUGAAAUCAGUAUGAAGCAUGUGCUAACUUACUGAAGAACAUAAGGACCUGUGAUGUUGUUUUCUAGUGCGAACAAUGAGGAUUGGGAGGUGAAAAUUUGUUGUAGUUACUUUUGGAGUUUGAACAAGGUCCAUGCAAGUGUAUCUUGAGGGUUUACAUCAGCUGAAGUGGCCUGAGACAACAUAUUAAGGCUGACAUUCGGAUUCAGCUUCAAAUAUCAAAGCGAAAGUUUGCCGAUUCAUUCCUCCUUCAACAGCUCCAAAGCUCGCUCAAUCACUACUCAAAGUCAAACUGUCAAAGUUCAUUUUGCAGAAUCUGGAGUUGUAUGAAGUUCAUACUAUGACUUUGAGUUGUAGGAAUCUAGAGUUUGGUUAAAUAAUUUGUUUUAAUAUUCUGAAGUAUAAUUUUGUUGUUGUUCUGUCUCUGAUCUUCUUCCUUAGUGAUUCUAUUUCUUGUGUUUAUGUUCUAUUCGUUACUGGUUGUGAGUUUUUUUAAACGUUUUUUGUUGUCCUUUUCAAACUGAUUGUGAAUUUUUUUUUUUGUUUCUUAUUUUUUUUUUAAUUAUUAUUAUUAUUUUUUAUCUCUCAACGUUUUUGACAUUUUUCUGUUGUAUAAUUUCUAUUUCUGCAUUUUUAUGACAGUUUUGUCUGCUAGAAAUUUUGAAUUUUGGCAUAAAAAAAAAAAAAAAGGAAGAAGAAGAAUUGAUUCAAUUUUAAAAAAGAGCUUUUCUUAAGUUUUUGAGCAAUACAAACAAAAAGAGUUUAGUUGAACAUUUAAUUUUUGUGACUGAGUUGUUUUGAAUAUUUUCUUUUAGUUUUUUUUAUUUAAAUUAUAUUGUGCCCUUUAUAAAGCACCAAGAUCGGGUUUUAUUUUGUAUAUUUUCAAUAUUAAUAUAUUUUAUGUGCUAAUUGUCUCAUUUUAAUAAAAAUUUUGUACUCUUAUAAUUUUUUUGCACUUGCGAAACCUUACGUAUAAAUGGCAUGUUAUUUAAAAAUUCGUUUAGAAUCUCUCAAAAAUUGAGAAUCUCAAGGCCGCCCCUCUUAGAGAGGAUUGAGUCCUUUACAUGAGUGAAGGUCGGAGAUCAUUCACAUAUGGUAUGGUUUCAAAAACAAAGUGGAACUCGCCCCAUAUGUACGUACUGAUCUCCACCCAACCUCGUGCAUAUAUAAUAUGUAGUACCAUGGUGUGCCCAUUAGAGGAUCUAUGCCAGAGAGCGAAGCCAAUUAAUGCCUAAUGGGGCAUGUGACGUCUGUCUUGACCUGGCUCGGCCACUAUAAUAUAUAUUGUGUAUAUAUAUAUAUAUAUAUUUUACUUUAUAUAUGAAAAAUUUAUAUAAUGACCCCUAAAGUUUUUUAUUUUUUUUAAAAUUGAUCUCCUAACUUUUUAUUUUUUUUUUUACUCUUUCAUCCUUUAAAUUCGUUUAAUUUCCUUACAAAAAAUUAAAAUUUCUUUUUUUAAUCAAACUCUUUUUUUUUUUUUUUUCAAAGUUCUCUUAUUUUUCUUAUAUUUGUUAGAUAUUUAUUUGUCAAAUAAUUUAUCUUUUUUUAUACUACUCAUUAAUUAUCAUAUUAUUUUGCAAUAACUUUUUUCUAUUUGCCUCGUGAUUUGAAGAAUCCAUAUAUGUUAUCUUCACUGAUUUUAAUUAAUUAAUUAAUUGUUAUUUUUAACAUUGUGUUGUGCCCCUGCAUUGAAUUUCUGACUCUUAUUGGUGCAAGUGCAUCUAAAAAGAAAAACGUAGUGUUAUAAGGUGAGAAAAAACUCCCUUUCUUCUGAAUUAUUAUUAUUAUUAUUAUUUUUUUCACUUGAGUCUCUUUAUAGGAAUUUACUCUCUCUUCAUUUUUCCUGGAUAAUGUAAUAAUAUAUUGAAGUAAUUACAUAUCUGAUAAGAUUUUAAUAAUAGACGAUUUUCUCAUGCAUUUUUUUUUUUUUUUUUUUUAUGUUCAUGUAAUUUUCUUACUAAGCAAUUAGUAUUGUAAACUUGUUUGAUUUUAAAAAGCGUAAAUUUUUUAAUUCAACUUUGUUUCAAGGCACAAAAAAUAAAUACCAUCACAAUCACUAAAACCAUGAAGUGGCAAUUACUAGUAUUGUUCAGAAAAAUAAUUAGUUCUCUCUCUCGUAAAAUUUACUUGUGUCACUACUGAUAAUUGACAUAAUUUUUAAAACUCCUUAAGAACGUAAAAAAUAAAGAAAAAAAAAAAAUAGUAGGAUAAUAUAUGACAUGGUGGUUGAUGGAAUUUUAGAUAGGUGUGGUAUAUGAUUUAUAUAUUUAACCGACACAUAGAUAUAGAAUAUAUAUAUAUAUAUAUACACACAGAAGUCACAGGUUAAAUUCGAAUUGACUACCUCAGAUAAAGUCGAACACAAAACUUCACGUGCUUGGAGUUCCUUUGUCCAGCUUGCCGGUGUGGACUUUUAUAACUUCAUAAUUAUUUUUUAGUGUAGAAAGUGCUCUUGUAAUGUGAAGAAACUAGGACACAUACAAAAAUACAAGAUACAUGUACAAGUUGAAGAACUCAACACUAAAAGAAGCGAAUAAAAUUUAAGUAGCACAAGAUUUUAUCUGUCAAAAUGUAAAACUUGAUUUAACCAAACGAAUCAUUUCAAUCUACGAGUACGAUGCAUGAAUAAUUAAUAAAUUAAAUUAAAUUAAAUUGUUGGAUUAGUACACCACUACAAGUCUACACACUCAAGGAGAUCCUUUGAAUAAUUUUAGGGUUGAGGUUUCUGAUUAUAUAUAUAUAUAUAUA